rnacentral:lncRNA from 1 species
AUGCCGGGCUUGCCUGGCCCGGCCGGGCCGGGUCCGGGGCGGCCUCGCUGCCGGGGCAGGGACCUCGCAGGCCGGCGCGCAGAGGCGAGGAGCCCUCCCGGCGCCAUCGACUCACCUACCCGCGGAGAGGCGACGGCGCGCGCCGCUCACCAGCCCGGGGCCCAGAUCCGAGAAGGAGGGGCAGCGGCGCGGAGACCUGGUGGCGGUUGGCGGGACUGCGGGUUUGACAGAUGGGUUGGCAGCUGUGAAGAUGGACUUCCUGCCAGUGGUAUCCGGGUCCCACUGUUCUAAUGGAAAUGCCAGGUGUACUGGAUGUUCCUCAAGCCACAGCAAUGCCUCUGGGCCUUACCGCUUAAGGAGUGGGCCUCGGGUCACCUGGACAGGAAGCGCAUCAAGGGUGGGGAACUCAUCUCUCUCCAGCCUUUGAUGCUGUGAUACUCAGUGUGCCUUAAGGAUGGUUUGGGUUUUGAACCGUAGAUGGAGGUAGGAAUGGGUGUUGGUGGGCGGGGUGGGGGUGGGGGUGGGGGAACAGAAACCUUAAAAAGGCAACACUGAGCUUUUAAGUAGAAGAGGCCAAGCAGUCUCGCCCAGAAGCUGAUGUUUGUGAAUGCACUGGGCCUUCUAAAGCGGCGCUUCGCACACCUUUUCACUUCUUGGCAGAGGUAGGAAAGGAUAUUACAAGGCUCAAAAUGGGGGUAAACAGAAGAGGCUGCUCCUGCAGAAGGCGAAUGGGCCCUUGCACCUGGAGGACUGAGAAGACCCAUGCUGUGUCUGCAUCCCUGUCAUUCGUUUCAUGGCAUCCAGUUGGGAAGCUCUGCUUAAAGCUCUAUCUGGCACUUUUUCUUAGCUACAUUUCUCCACACUAGCUGAGACUGCCUCACUGAGUUGUCAACACUUGGUCCUCUUCAGCAGUGAGGAACCACCAAGAAACGAGGCUGAGGCAGUACUCAACUUGUCAAACUCCAGGAAAUGGUGCUUAAAACGUUUAGCUUCUUGAAUGGAACUCAUGGUACUGCUCCUAGCCUGCCCCUGGGGUCUCCAACUUGACACAGUUUCUCCCCGCAUCCUCCCACCCUUCUCUAGCAAGUGGGCUGCUUCUACUUUCUUUCUCACAUUCAUUUCUUAGGUCCAUUCUCAGAGCUGGUUAGGGUUAUUGUUUAAUUAGCCUCAUAAUCAUAUCUAUGAUGGCAAAAUCAAGAAACAAUUUAAACAUGAUUCUUAAAAGUAAGGAGAUAAAUACCAGAGACAUAGAAGGUGAAAGAAUUUGCCUCUAGGAAGCAGGAAUUUAAAU